rnacentral:tRNA from 1 species
UAGCUCAGCGGCAUAAGCACCUGCCUUGCAAGCAGGCAGUCGUGAGUUCGAUCCUCUU